rnacentral:rRNA from 1 species
UACAGAGACUGCAAGCGUUAUUCGGAUUCACUGGGCGUAAAGGGUGCGCAGGCGGUUGGGUGUGUCAGGUGUGAAAUCUCGGGGCUCAACCCCGAAACUGCACUUGAUACUGUGGUGCUCGAGUACUGGAGAGGAGAUUGGAAUUUACGGUGUAGCAGUGAAAUGCGUAGAUAUCGUAAGGAAGACCAGUGGCGAAGGCGAAUCUCUGGACAGUUACUGACACUGAGGCACGAAGGCCAGGGGAGCAAACGGG